rnacentral:rRNA from 1 species
GUCUCGUAGAGGUAGUUUCGUAGUCCGUCGGACUCAGGACGAACGCUGGCGGCGUGCUUACACAUGCAAGUCGAACGAUGACGUGGUGCUUGCACCGCCUGAUUAGUGGCGAACGGGUGAGUAACACGUGAGUAACCUGCCCUCCACUUCGGGAUAACCUCGGGAAAUCGUGGCUAAUACCGGAUAUGAGCACUCAUCGCAUGGUGGGUGUUGGAAAGAUUUAUCGUGGGGGAUGGACUCGCGGCCUAUCAGUUUGUUGGUGAGGUGAUGGCUCACCAAGACGAUGACGGGUAGCCGGCCUGAGAGGGCGACCGGCCACACUGGGACUGAGACACGGCCCAGACUCCUACGGGAGGCAGCAGUGGGGAAUAUUGCACAAUGGGCGAAAGCCUGAUGCAGCGACGCCGCGUGGGGGAUGACGGCCUUCGGGUUGUAAACCCUUUCAGUAGGGAAGAAGCGAGAGUGACGGUACCUGCAGAAGAAGCGCCGGCUAACUACGUG